CAAUCUUUAUUUCACCUAGCUUGUAGCUGGAACAAUAAAUUGUAUUACGAUGGAGAACGCUGGAAGGAAAAUGGCGUCGAUUUUUACUGCACCAGUUCUGAUCAAAGAGCAAGGCCUGGCUGCUAUGUUGAUAACGGUAGAGUGCUGUGCACUGGCGCGAUACCAGGGAUAAGAGAGUUGUCUUUAAUAUCAAACGGUGACCUUUUCUUGUGCGAAAGUGGUGAUGAGAUUAGAUCGCUUGGGGACAGAUGUAACAUCCGUCCCAAUUGUGGCGAUCGAUCAGACGAGAGGGAUUGUGAUCAGUACUUCUGUGCUCCAGAAAAAUCACAAGGUUUUCUUUGGACAAGAACACCAGUGGACGGAGAAAUUCUGAAGCAAUGUUCCUUAAUUAACUCCAA